rnacentral:rRNA from 1 species
AUUGAACGCUGGCGGCAGGCCUAACACAUGCAAGUCGAGCGGAUGAAGGGAGCUUGCUCCUGGAUUCAGCGGCGGACGGGUGAGUAAUGCCUAGGAAUCUGCCUGGUAGUGGGGGAUAACGUCCGGAAACGGGCGCUAAUACCGCAUACGUCCUGAGGGAGAAAGCGGGGGAUCUUCGGACCUCACGCUAUCAGAUGAGCCUAGGUCGGAUUAGCUAGUUGGUGGGGUAAAGGCCUACCAAGGCGACGAUCCGUAACUGGUCUGAGAGGAUGAUCAGUCACACUGGAACUGAGACACGGUCCAGACUCCUACGGGAGGCAGCAGUGGGGAAUAUUGGACAAUGGGCGAAAGCCUGAUCCAGCCAUGCCGCGUGUGUGAAGAAGGUCUUCGGAUUGUAAAGCACUUUAAGUUGGGAGGUAGGGCAGUAAGUUAAUACCUUGCUGUUUUGACGUUACCAACAGAAUAAGCACCGGCUAACUUCGUG